rnacentral:RNase_P_RNA from 1 species
CAGGAUGGGCACUUAGCUAUCGGCUUUUUGCUGAGGAAAGUCCGCCCUCCCUUCGCUUGGAAGAAAGUGUUACCUUUGAGAAAAGGAUCCAGUAAUGGAUGGCAACCACGCAGAAACGAAACCACCUGUGCUUAGGAUGAUGCAGGAGAGGGGCAUGGCAACAUGCCUUAGAUAACCCGCUGACAGUGGCACAGGAAAGGAUGAAACGGUGAGACCUAACCGGAGCAAGUCUUUUGACGCUUAGUUGAAUGCUAAGAGAGCCAUCGAGACAUUGUUGAGUAAUGGGCUCUUACAAAAGGCGGCUUAUGCCUGUCCUG